rnacentral:rRNA from 1 species
AUUGAACGCUGGCGGCAUGCCUUACACAUGCAAGUGGAACGGCAGCAUGAUCUAGCUUGCUAGAUUGAUGGCGAGUGGCGAACGGGUGAGUAAUACAUCGGAACGUGCCCUGUAGUGGGGGAUAACUAGUCGAAAGAUUAGCUAAUACCGCAUACGACCUGAGGGUGAAAGUGGGGGACCGCAAGGCCUCAUGCUAUAGGAGCGGCCGAUGUCUGAUUAGCUAGUUGGUGAGGUAAAGGCUCACCAAGGCGACGAUCAGUAGCUGGUCUGAGAGGACGACCAGCCACACUGGGACUGAGACACGGCCCAGACUCCUACGGGAGGCAGCAGUGGGGAAUUUUGGACAAUGGGCGAAAGCCUGAUCCAGCAAUGCCGCGUGUGUGAAGAAGGCCUUCGGGUUGUAAAGCACUUUUGUCCGGAAAGAAAUGGCUCUGGUUAAUACCUGGGGUCGAUGACGGUACCGGAAGAAUAAGGACCGGCUAACUACGUG